AAACUACCAAUCCCAAACAUAACAAAUCCCAAUAAAUUACACAUAUCAAACACCAUAACAACCAACACACUACACCUAUCAAACCCAAUAACAACCAUGCCUUCGUCCCCCACACAACUAGACACCAAUCCCACCUCAUAACUUUAAUUACUCCAACACCAAUCAAUAAUCAUCAACCACCGAUGUGUCAUAUUAUUACAUCGCAACCAUAAAACCAUCGAAC
rnacentral:lncRNA from 1 species